UGAACGCUGGCGGCGUGCUUAACACAUGCAAGUCGAGCGAGAAGUUUUGAAAAGAUUCUUCGGAUGAAAUUUAAAAUGGAAAGCGGCGGACGGGUGAGUAACGCGUAGGCAACCUGCCCCAUACAAAGGGAUAGCAUUUGGAAACGAAUAUUAAUACCUUAUGAAACUAAACUAGUGCAUGCUAGGUAGGUCAAAGAUUUAUCGGUAUGGGAUGGGCCUGCGUCUGAUUAGCUAGUUGGUGAGGUAACGGCUCACCAAGGCGACGAUCAGUAGCCGACCUGAGAGGGUGAACGGCCACAUUGGAACUGAGACACGGUCCAAACUCCUACGGGAGGCAGCAGUGGGGAAUAUUGCACAAUGGGGGAAACCCUGAUGCAGCAACGCCGCGUGAACGAUGAAGGCCUUUGGGUCGUAAAGUUCUGUUCUAGGUGAUGAAAACUGACAGUAACCUAGGAGAAAGCCCCGGCUAACUCCGUG
rnacentral:rRNA from 1 species